rnacentral:rRNA from 1 species
UACGUAGGGGGCAAGCGUUGUCCGGAAUCAUUGGGCGUAAAGAGCGUGUAGGCGGUCCGGUAAGUCGGCUGUGAAAGUCCAGGGCUCAACCCUGGGAUGCCGGUCGAUACUGCCGGACUAGAGUUCGGAAGAGGCGAGUGGAAUUCCCGGUGUAGCGGUGAAAUGCGCAAAUAUCGGGAGGAACACCUAUGGCGAAGGCAGCUCGCUGGGACGUUACUGACGCUGAGACGCGAAAGCGUGGGGAGCAAACAGG